UAGUCCUAGCCCUAAACGAUGGGUACUAGUUAGGGGGAGUUUCUAUGCUCUCCCUGGCGAAGCUAAUGUAUUAAGUACCCCGCCUGGGGAGUACGGCCGCAAGGCUAAAACUCAAAGGAAUUGACGGGGGCUCACACAAGCGGUGGAGCAUGUUGUUUAAUUCGAUGCAACGCGAAGAACCUUACCCAGGCCUGAAUGCAGGGAUUAAGCUGUGAAAGCAGUGGAUUGCCUUCGGGUGUAACCUGCACUGGUGUUGCAUGGCUGUCGUCAGCUCGUGUCGUGAGAUGUUGGGUUAAGUCCCGUAACGAGCGAAACCCCUAUUGUUAGUUGCCAGCGGGUAAUGCCGGGGACUCUAGCGAGACUGCCGCUGUCAAGGCGGAGGAAGGUGGGGACGACGUCAAGUCAUCAUGGCCCUUAUGCCUGGGGGCUACAAACGUGCUACAAUGGUCGGGGACAGAGGGGACGCGAAGCCGCGAGGUCGAGCAAAUCCCACAAACCUGGGCCUCAGUUCGGGAUUGGCAGGGCU
rnacentral:rRNA from 1 species